rnacentral:rRNA from 1 species
UGGCGGCGUGGAUAAGACAUGCAAGUCGAACGAGAGAAUUGCUAGCUUGCUAAUAAUUCUCUAGUGGCGCACGGGUGAGUAACACGUGAGUAACCUGCCCCCGAGAGCGGGAUAGCCCUGGGAAACUGGGAUUAAUACCGCAUAGUAUCGAAAGAUUAAAGCAGCAAUGCGCUUGGGGAUGGGCUCGCGGCCUAUUAGUUAGUUGGUGAGGUAACGGCUCACCAAGGCGAUGACGGGUAGCCGGUCCGAGAGGAUGUCCGGCCACACUGGAACUGAGACACGGUCCAGACACCUACGGGUGGCAGCAGUCGAGAAUCAUUCACAAUGGGGGAAACCCUGAUGGUGCGACGCCGCGUGGGGGAAUGAAGGUCUUCGGAUUGUAAACCCCUGUCAUGUGGGAGCAAAUUAAAAAGAUAGUACCACAAGAGGAAGAGACGGCUAACUCUGUGCCAGCAGCCGCGGUAAUACAGAGGUCUCAAGCGUUGUUCGGAAUCACUGGGCGUAAAGCGUGCGUAGGCUGUUUCGUAAGUCGUGUGUGAAAGGCGCGGGCUCAACCCGCGGACGGCACAUGAUACUGCGAGACUAGAGUAAUGGAGGGGGAACCGGAAUUCUCGGUGUAGCAGUGAAAUGCGUAGAUAUCGAGAGGAACACUCGUGGCGAAGGCGGGUUCCUGGACAUUAACUGACGCUGAGGCACGAAGGCCAGGGGAGCGAAAGGGAUUAGAUACCCCUGUAGUCCUGGCAGUAAACGGUGCACGCUUGGUGUGCGGGGAAUCGACCCCCUGCGUGCCGGAGCUAACGCGUUAAGCGUGCCGCCUGGGGAGUACGGUCGCAAGAUUAAAACUCAAAGAAAUUGACGGGGACCCGCACAAGCGGUGGAGUAUGUGGCUUAAUUCGAUGCAACGCGAAGAACCUUACCUGGGCUUGACAUGUAAUGAACAACAUGUGAAAGCAUGCGACUCUUCGGAGGCGUUACACAGGUGCUGCAUGGCCGUCGUCAGCUCGUGUCGUGAGAUGUUUGGUUAAGUCCAGCAACGAGCGCAACCCCUGUUGCCAGUUACCAGCACGUGAAGGUGGGGACUCUGGCGAGACUGCCCAGAUCAACUGGGAGGAAGGUGGGGACGACGUCAGGUCAGUAUGGCCCUUAUGCCCAGGGCUGCACACGUACUACAAUGCCCAGUACAGAGGGGGCCGAAGCCGCGAGGCGGAGGAAAUCCUGAAAACUGGGCCCAGUUCGGACUGUAGGCUGCAACCCGCCUACACGAAGCCGGAAUCGCUAGUAAUGGCGCAUCAGCUACGGCGCCGUGAAUACGUUCCCGGGUCUUGUACACACCGCCCGUCACAUCAUGGAAGCCGGUCGCACCCGAAGUAUCUGAAGCCAACCGCAAGGAGGCAGGGUCCUAAGGUGAGACUGGUAACUGGGAUGAA